rnacentral:rRNA from 1 species
GACGGAGGCUGCAAGUGUUAUCCGGAAUCACUGGGCGUAAAGCGUCUGUAGGUGGUUUAAAAAGUCCACUGUUAAAAAUUGAAGCUUAACUUCAAAGAUGCCGUGGAAACUUUUAAACUUGAGUAUGGUAGGGGUAGAGGGAAUUUCCAGUGGAGCGGUGAAAUGCGUAGAUAUUGGAAAGACCACCAAUGGCGAAGGCACUCUACUGGGCCAUUACUGACACUGAGAGACGAAAGCUAGGGGAGCAAAUGGG